rnacentral:lncRNA from 1 species
UAAAAAUUUCUUAAAACUCAAAUCCAAACCUUAAACAAAAUGGAAUUGCGGAGAGGAUUUCCUCUCUUAAUCCAACAGUACAAAGCUUUACUCUUUAAGAAUCUUCUCCUCUCAUGGCGAAAUAGGCGAUCCACAUUUCUCCAGCUUUUCUCAUCCCUCUUCUUCAUCUUCAUCAUCUUCUGCAUUCAAAAAGCAUUCGACUCGAGAUACUCCUCGUCUUCUUCUUUCAAAAGUAUCAAUGAUCCUGAACCGUUGAUCUUUCCCGCAAUCCCACCUUGUGAGGAAAAAUUCUACUCUAAAUUGCCAUGCUUUGAUUUUGUUUGGAGUGGGAAUGACAGUGCUAGAAUUGGGGAGAUUGUUAGAAGGAUUCGAGAGAAUAAUCCCGGCCGGAGUAUUCCUUCUGACAAGGUUUAAUUUUUCCCUAUUUUUUAAUUUUGUUUUCUUGUUUUGUAAGUAAAAUGCAGUUUUCUGAAGAAGUUUUCACUUAAUUUUGAUUACAGCAAAUUGAAUUAAAAAAGGAUUGGAUGAGAGUUAGAAGGGUGUGCCCUAAUGUGUGUUAUCUUUGUUUUGAUGCAAAAUCUCUUAGGCUCUAUUUGAUUGCAACAUUUUUCAUGGAAAAUGUCACAUCCAACGAAAAUAAUUUCCACUUUGACUGUUUGAUUCGUAUGUGGAAAUGGAAUUUAAAUUCUUAUGUACAACCAUUUAAAGCACGUUUUUGGCCAAUUCCAUGAAAAACGAAUUCUUAUGGGUAUGGUGAUAAUUUGUUUUCCAACUUAGAUGGAAUUCCUUUUCCUUUUCCUCCUUCGCAAUCAAACGGGGCCUUAUGCAUAUUUGUUAGGGAGGAUUACAUAGCACAUGAUAAGGGCAAAAAAGAAAAAAAAAGUACAAUCUUGUUCAUUAUAUUGUUCAGUUUGCAUGCAAACGCAUUGACUUAUAUAUUUUGUCUGCAGUACAUGAAGCAGAAAAUGUAAAUAUAGCUUUACUGUUGGAAUUAAAUUCCUUGUUGAUUUUAAUCUAUUGAAUUUUGAAGUCAACGGGUAGAAACCAUUAAAAAUAGUAAAUGAAGUAAUCAAAAAUCAGAAUCUGGUUAGGGUAAUGUUUUAUAAAUUAUAGAAUAUUAUAUUAGUAUUUAAAAUGAAUUUGUUGAUUCCAAAAUUUCUGUAGUUCACAGAGAAACUUGAUUAGUUCCAUUUCAUAAACUCAUGUUUUCUACUCAAAAUUAAAUUGCUUAAUUAAGUUGUUUAGGCUGAUUCACCACUAUGUACAGUCACUUGGUAAUUACCUUCUUAUGUUUUUGUUAUAUAUUUCUUUCCCCGGUCUGCAACAUUAUUGAAGUUCCACUUAAGGCUAGUUACAGUUUCCAGUUUGGAUGUAUAAAGGUAAAAUGAUGCAAUAUCCUUUCUUUGAUUAUUAUGAUGAAUCAAUCAUAAUGGCAGAAAAUAACGAACUGGGGAUAAGAAAUAUAAUAUGGGACUCAGACUUUUCUGAAGAUAUUUGGAAUUCUAUGUGAUUACAAAUUUGGUUGUUUACUUUUUUGAUCGGAGCUAAAUCUGUAAUUUUCGACAAUGCCUUUUUUAGGAAUAAAGUUAGUAGCAUUUUAUCUAAGUAAAAACUUGUAAUAUAAAAAAACUGUAUUGCUGAAAGAAUGGGAAAUGAUCAUGCCUUGAGCAGGUUCAGUCAUUCAAAACGCGAAAUGAAGUUGAUGAUUGGCUUGCCAACCAUUCUAUGCAUUGUCCUGGAGCUCUGCAUUUAGUGGACAGAAACGCUACCGUAAUUAGCUAUGGAUUGCAGACUAAUUCUACUCCACUUGCUAAGCGAGGAAAUUUUGAAGAUCCUACUUUUAAAUUUCAAAUUCCACUUCAACUUGCUGCAGAACGUGAAAUCGCAAGAUUUCUGAUUGGAGGUAUGACAUCCGAAAUUCUUCUUUUAGAGCAUGUUUUGCAUCACUUAUAAAAAAAAAUGAAGUUAAUUUUUGUCUUCAAACAUGUUCGGAUAAUUUAUAUUUUUUGUACAUUUAAGUAAAAAGUUACUUUUUUGAAAGCAACUCUUACCUUGUCCAUAUUUGGAAAACAUUGUAAUUUUCUUAUAUUUUAAUGUUCAAACUCAAACAUUAAUUUUAAUCACACAUUUUGGAGGACGUACAACUACUACCCACUUAUCCCACCCCUCAUUUUUGUCACAUUAUAAUUUCAGAUAGCUAUAAUUUUAUAUUAGAUAAAUUAAUUUCUUCAGGUUUCAACAAUAAAAGUAUUUAUUUUAAAACUUACUUAUUAACUUAUAAGUGAACUUUUUAAGCUUAGCGCAACAUGCUCUGAUCUGAUGGAUCAUAUAAAGCAUGAUGAGAGUUUCCUUACAAUGCACCCUCUUUUUUGUGGCUGCAUACACUUCAGAUGCAAGCUUUAGUUGGGUUGUCAGUCUUAAGGAAUUUGCCCAUCCUGCUAUUGAAAUCUUUUCGGCUGUGCAAAGAGCAGGACCGACCUUUUUCCUGGCAAUUGCUAUGUUUGCUUUUGUCCUUCAAAUUUCUGCUUUGACCACGGAGAAAGAAUUAAAACUUCGCCAGGUAUAGAAUAAUCUCCAUUUCAAAAUGAAGAUAAGUACUCCUAUGGUUCCAGCAUAUUGCAAAAUCCUGAAUAAUUAUUCACUUACAUGUUUGAUAACAGGCAAUGACAAUGAUGGGUCUUUAUGAUACUGCCUAUUGGUUAUCGUGGCUCACUUGGGAGGGAAUCCUCACAUUGCUUUCCUCACUUUUCACAGUUUUAUUUGGAAUGAUGUUCCAGUUUGACUUUUUCUUGCACAACAGUUUUGCUGUUGUGUUCUUCUUGUUCUUUCUCUUUCAAUUGAGUAUGGUAGGUUUCCUUACUCCAGUAUGAAACGUACGUCAUAUUCAGUUAUUGUCAUUAUAACGAGGUUUGUUUCUUGCUUCUGUUAUCAGACUGCAUUUGCCUUUAUGCUGUCUACGUUUAUUAGCAAGUCUGAUUCGUCCAGCACGUUAGGUUUCUUUUGCUUUAUUAUUGGUUCCAUGACUCAGGCAAGUUUCUCUUUUCAAAAAAUGUUUAAUUACAAAGUACUGAAUGCCACUCAUAAUAACAGAUCUCUCUUCAUACUAUUCCAGAUCGUGACAGCAUUUGGAUUUCCUUACAGCGAUGACUUCUCGAACACGUACCGAAUUGUGUGGUCACUUUUUCCUCCAAAUCUUUUUGCUAAAGGUCUCGAAUUGCUCUCUGAUGCAACUGCAACUCCUCAAGAUCCCGGUGUCAGCUGGAAUGGGAGGACAAAAUGUUCACCAAAUGAUACUGAUUGCAUCAUAACAAUUGUACGUCAAACCAUCAAGCUUCUAUUCUAUUUCCCUUUUAUGCAUUACGAGUUAACUAGUCUUAGAAAUUAACUCAAAGCAUGUCUGAUACACAUUUCUCAACAAGAUUGGAUAGUGAACCUUUUCUCUUUUAAUACUGCUGAGUACCAUCUAAUCCAACUUAUUUAAUAUGGCAUCUUUGUCUUAAAAUUUGUUCGAUGAUUAUCUUAAGUAUUCAACUGCCUCUUACUAAAUUGCUUCCAAAACUUUUUAUGUUGAUUGACAGAACAAGAUUUACAUAUGGCUUUUAGCUGUAUCCUUUCUCUGGUUUGUUUUGGCCAUCUACUUUGACAAUAUUUUUCCAAAUACAUCUGGGGUGAGAAAGUCGGUGUUAUAUUUUCUGAGUCCUGGGUACUGGACCGGAAAUGGGGGAAACAAGGUGGAAGGUAUUGAAAUCCGAUACAAUAAUUUUCUGUCAUUUCAUCCUGUUAUUUGGUUGAUACUGCCAACUGCUAAUAUCUUAGGCAUGCCCUUUUUCCUUUGAGAAGGAAGCAUAUGUAGUUGCUUUAGUUCAGUACCACUCGUGGACAGCACCAUUCCAGAGGACGAGGAUGUACUUGAAGAGGAAAACAUAGUGAAACAGCAAGCUUCAGACGGUAGUGUAGAUUCACGAAUUGCAGUCCAAAUACGUGGUCUCGUGAAAACUUACGCUGGAGCAACAAAGAUCGGGUGCUGCAAAUGUAAGAGGACCUCUCCUUACCAUGCUCUCAAGGUAAAAUAAACCUUGUGGAAUAUGGUACCGUAAGAGUAGUUUUGGGGAACUGAAUCUCCGAGUUAAUAUAGAUCAAUAGUGCAUAUAACAUAAGUGUGAAGGCUCCUUUCUAUCAUAAAAUUUCUUUAAAAAGGCAACCAGUUGCUUUAUUUGAGAUCUGUGUACGGAACAGAAUUCACACACAAAAUUGUGUGUUUGUGUGUCUAUUUAAGUACGCAAGCCCUUCUUUGACAAGCAAUUUGAUUUUAUUACUAAUUUUUUGAAAUUACAAUUGGCAUGUGAAAUUGUAUUCUGAAGCAUAUAAUGGAUAUAAAACCUGCAGGGAUUAUGGGUGAACUUUUCCACGGAUCAGUUAUUUUGUCUUCUUGGACCCAAUGGAGCAGGAAAAACUACUGCUAUUAAUUGUUUGACAGGGAUUACACCAGUAACUAGUGGAGAUGGUAAGAUCUGUUGUUUUGGUUAUCAAGUUUCCUUGCAAUUAUUUGGAUGACGUCACGAAGAAUCUGGAGUAUGAUUUUUUUUUUUUUUUUUAACAGCAUUAAUUUAUGGAUAUUCCAUCCGAAGCUCCACUGGUAUGUCAAACAUUCGCAGGAUGAUAGGGGUUUGUCCUCAGGUGACUCCCAACCCCCCAUCCCGUCUUUGUAUGUUAUAACUAUACUUUAGUUUUCACUUUUUAAUGGUCAGAUGUAGAUGUAGAUUCUUUGUCAGAAAGUGUGCAAAAUGAAGGGAAGGGGAGAUUUGAAAAUCCUUUAUGCACUAUCGAAUAAUUUGGAUCGAUUAACAGAGAUGAACUCCUUUUUGGUGACAGUUUGAUAUUCUUUGGGAUGCAUUGUCUGGUCAAGAGCACCUACACUUGUUUGCCAGUAUCAAAGGUCUGACGCCUGCUUCCAUUGUGUCGGUACGUUCUGUACAAACCUAAGUGAUCUUUACAAAAUAAACAACUUUUUACUUGUGAAAAGUCUGAGAUAUGGGUUUUUUUGUCAAAAUAAUAGGUUGUGCAGAAAUUAAUAGCAGAAGUAAAACUUACUGAGGCAGCCAAGAUGAGAGCUGGUAGCUAUAGUGGCGGAAUGAGACGUCGUCUUAGUGUUGCUAUUGCCCUUAUUGGUGAACCAAAGUUGGUCAUUUUGGAUGAACCGGUUGGUAGACAGAAUAUUUCUCAUUCUUCUUUUAUAAUUUUUAAUUGGUUCUCUGCUUGCAAUUUUAUAUGAGUUUUUACUUUGAACCUGUAGACCACUGGGAUGGAUCCAAUAACUAGAAGACACGUGUGGGAUGUAAUUGAAGAGGCUAAAAAAGGGCGUGCCAUUAUUCUAACUACUCAUUCGAUGGAAGAAGCUGACAUCUUAAGUGACAGGAUAGGAAUUAUGGCAAAGGGUAGGCUUCGCUGCAUUGGAACUUCAAUAAGGUUGAAGUCGCGGUUUGGAACUGGUUUCAUUGCUACUAUAAGCUUUUCCGGGGAUGUUAAUGGUACCCCAAACAGAGGGGAUGCGUUUGAUACCACUCAACAUGAAGCUGUUAAACAGUUCUUUAAAUCAGUAAGUCAAAUAUUAGCUAGUUAUAAUAUUCCC